UUUACGGAGAGUUUGAUCCUGGCUCAGGACGAACGCUGGCGGCGUGCUUAACACAUGCAAGUCGAACGAUGAAGCUGGAGCUUGCUCCGGUGGAUUAGUGGCGAACGGGUGAGUAACACGUGAGAAAUCUGCCCCUGACUCUGGGAUAACUGCGGGAAACUGUAGCUAAUACCGGAUACUUUCCCUGGUGGGCAUCCACUGGGGAAGAAAGAAUUUCGGUCAGGGAGGAUCUCGCGGCCUAUCAGCUAGUUGGUGAGGUAACGGCUCACCAAGGCGACGACGGGUAACCGGCCUGAGAGGGUGACCGGUCACACUGGGACUGAGACACGGCCCAGACUCCUACGGGAGGCAGCAGUGGGGAAUAUUGCACAAUGGGCGCAAGCCUGA
rnacentral:rRNA from 1 species